rnacentral:rRNA from 6 species
UGCAUGUCUAAGUACAUGCCGUAUUAAGGCGAAACCGCGAAUGGCUCAUUAAAUCAGUUAUGGUUCCUUGGAUCGUACCUUACUACUUGGAUAACUGUGGCAAUUCUAGAGCUAAUACAUGCAGCAGAGCUCCGACCCUCUGGGGACGAGCGCUUUUAUUAGACCAAAACCAAUCGGACCUCGUGUCCGUAUCAUGUGGUGACUCUGUAUAACUUUGGGCUGAUCGCACGGGCUCGUCCCGGCGACGUAUCUUUCAAGUGUCUGCCUUAUCAACUGUCGAUGGUAGGUUACGCGCCUACCAUGGUCGUAACGGGUGACGGGGAAUCAGGGUUCGAUUCCGGAGAGGGAGCCUGAGAAACGGCUACCACAUCCAAGGAAGGCAGCAGGCGCGCAAAUUACCCACUCCCAGAACGGGGAGGUAGUGACGAAAAAUAACAAUACGGGACUCUUUUGAGACCCCGUAAUUGGAAUGAGUACACUCUAAAUCCUUUAACGAGGAUCAAUUGGAGGGCAAGUCUGGUGCCAGCAGCCGCGGUAAUUCCAGCUCCAAUAGCGUAUAUUAAAGUUGUUGCGGUUAAAAAGCUCGUAGUUGGAUCUCAGUUCCAGACGGGUGGUCCGCCUACCGGUGGUUACUGCCUGUUCUGAACAGCCAGCCGGUUUCCUUUGAUGAUCUUCACCGGUUGUCUUGGGUGACCGGCAAGUUUACUUUGAAAAAAUUAGAGUGCUCAAAGCAGGCGUGACGCCUGAAUAAUGGUGCAUGGAAUAAUGGAAUAGGACCUCGGUUCUAUUUUGUUGGUUUUCGGAAUACGAGGUAAUGAUUAAGAGGGACAGACGGGGGCAUUCGUAUUGCGACGCUAGAGGUGAAA